rnacentral:rRNA from 1 species
CGGACGGGUGAGUAAUGUCUGGGAAACUGCCCGAUGGAGGGGGAUAACUACUGGAAACGGUAGCUAAUACCGCAUAACGUCGCAAGACCAAAGAGGGGACCUUCGGGCCUCUUGCCAUCGGAUGUGCCCAGAUGGGGUUAGCUAGUAGGUGGGGUAAUGGCUCACCUAGGCGACGAUCCCUAGCUGGUCUGAGAGGAUGACCAGCCACACUGGAACUGAGACACGGUCCAG